CCUGCAUACAAAACAGACAACCCACUACUGUAAGACACUCAAUACUGGGAAUAAACUCAUAAUGAAAGACACAUAAGAACUACAACUGAAGCUAUGUCAGAAAUGCCAACCCCAAAAGACCAAAAUACUACAGACAUUUGACUCAGUGUUGUCAGGCACUCCCUUCAAGAGCCUUGACACCACUGCAUUUAACAGGAUAGCCACUAGGAAUAUGGAUUUCCUAAAGGAAAAGAAAAUCUACAUGCAUAACACAUGUUUCCAACAUGUUUUUUCCAAGAUUCUGAAGGGAAAAGACUAAACAAUGGACUAUAUAAAGUGUCUGGGUUUGUUUUUGCUAAAUCCACCCUACAGGACUAUGCCUUGAAAGGUUUCUUUCCAUAUGUUGCUCUUUGCGUGUUUGUUUUGGGUUUUUUGCUAUGUUUUGUUUUGUUCAAGAAAGGUUCUUACUAUGCAGCCUUGGCUGUCCUGACACUUGCUAUACACCAGGAAGACUUUGAACUCACAGAGAUUCAUCGCCUUUGCCUCAACAGUGCUGGCUUCAAUUAAAACAUGCACUUGCACACCCAGUUUUUUCAAGUAUAAUUAAAAAUUUCUACAUCAAUUAUAAAGACUUUUCAGAGAAACAUGACUAUGAAAUCAAAGUAAUGGAAAGCUUGUGGAGUUGCUUCAGUUUUUUGUGAUGGUGGGGCAGAACGUGAAGGGACUUUGGCCAACCCCAGUGAAGUGAGCGAGUGACAGAGCCAGUGAGAUCUGACAGGCCUUGCCUUCCCCAUCCCCCCAUUUCCCUCUGCCUUGCUGAGAACUGUUAGGAUUACAUCUUAAAUCCAGUCACCUUAUUUGGCCACUCCCUCCUCGUGAAGCUGAUCACCAAGGUGAAGCAAUCAAAACCCUCCUUUGGCUCACCUAAUUAACAUGCCCAAUUAACAUGAAAUUCCUCAUCCUUACACCCAGUUCCCUUGUACUUUUAUAAACUUGGGUCUCCUCUCCAUCCAGCAGCAGUCCUUUUCCUCCAGGACAACCACCCUUCUCCCUCACCCUCUGUCUUCUGUCUCUCAUUCCCAGCCCUCUGUUCUCUGAGGCAGACUAAGCUGCUGAGAACGUGGUCUUGGGGUCCUAAGCCGAUACUUUUCCUCUCAGAACCCACCCAGGAAUUUUAACCACCGAGUUAUAUCUUAGUCUUCAAAGUUUUUUCUGAAGCAAACUUCUUCCCUGUUGCCAAGUCCUUUCAAAAUUAUCCCCCAAAAUACUUUUGUUCUUAAUGGUAUUCCAUGAAAAUUUAAAGAUUGCAAAUAACAUGGAAAUGUCACAACAUUAUAAUAAAAUCAAGGUGAGAGAAGACAACUUUGAUGAAAAAACCUGUUAUCAUAUGAUAAAAAGUAGAGUUUUCUUCUGCAAGAUGGAUAUAGGUGUUUGUUGCCAAGCAGUUGAGCUCAACUCCUGGAAUCCAAAUGACAGAACAGAGCCAACUCCUGCAUCUGUCCUCUGGUCCCCAAAAGCAUACUGUGGCACUCACCCACACACCUGCAUGUGUACACACUGUGUCCAAUAUGUGUGUUCCUAACAAUGCUGGGUACACAGACUCCACUGACUGACACUAAACACACACGAAGACACUUUGCAGUACAGCCAAAGAACAGAAGAAAACACAGUAUUUAUUUAAAUCAAUAGAAACAACAGGUCAAGGACUAGAAGUAUCUUUCACAAUAUUUCUGGGUAUUUUAUGAAGAGAACCAUACUCAGUUUUUAUGUAGACUCUCACUUGUAAUAAAGUCAAUGUUACCUUUCUAUAAUAAAAUGUUUAAAUGUGAAGACAGGUUUAUUAAAGAUUGUGAUAAUUUGUAUAUGCUUGGUCCAGGGAGUGGCACUACUUGGAGGAGUGGCACUGUUGGAGUAGGUGUGUCACUGUGGGUAUGGGCUUUAAGACCCUAGUCCUAGCUGCCUGGAAGUCAGUCUUCCACUAGCAGCCUUUGGGUGAAGAUGUAGAACUCUCAGCUCCUCCUGCACCAGGCCUGCCUGGAUGCUGCCAUGCUCCCACCUUGAUGAUAAUGGACUGAAUCUCUGAACCUGUGAGCCAGCCCCAAUGAAAUGUUGUCCUUAUAAGAGCUGCUUUGAUCAUGGUGUCUGUUCCCAGCAGUAAAACCCAAAUUAAGACAGAGAUGUUAAAUUUAUACCUCCAUCUAAAUAAAGGCUUUUUUUUUUUUAACCUUGAACUUCUGACCCUUCGGCUUCCACCGAGUGCUGGGAUUACAGGUGUGGGCCACCAUGCCUAUCUUAGGCAGUUCUAACACCCUUCAUUCACACUUGGCAAGCAUUCUACUAAGUGAGCUAGAUCCCUAGCACAAAGGACUAACUUAUUAAUCCUUAAUUUAUUUGCCUGAUGUCACCUUAUUUAAACUUAUUUGACAGGGCUAGGGAUGUUUGUGCUCUGUCUAGUUUAAAAGAAAUAAUUGGUUUAAGAUGUAUGGUUCCUAAAGAUGAAGCUUGUAUUUUUCCAAUACAAAAAGUCCUUAAAAAAAACAAAAAAAAGAAGAAGGUGACUUGAAAGGGGAGGGGCAGUGCUGGGGUGCAUUUAAAAAAUGACAGAAAUGUAAAAGCCAUCAUGGAAAUGGUAAUCAGAAGUACACUGAGAUUCUAUUUGAAUCUGGUCAGAUGUUCAUUCCCAAGAAAACAAACUAUGCUGACCAUGACUUUUAUAGAGGACUGGUAAGGAGGUAAAUUAAUGUAGCCAUAAUCAAUUAGUGUGGAGGAUCCUCAGAAAAACUAAAAGACUACUUACUACAUGACCUUGCUCUACUGCUUCUAGGCAUAUAUAUUACUGUCUAAGCAUGAUCUGAACAAAGAUGACGCCAACAAGCAUGCUAAAGUGCACAGGGGAAGACCUUGAAUGUCUACCCUACACAGAGAAUUCCAGGCAACUAUGAAUGCUCAGAGCAGGAGAAAUUAUCUUCCCCAGGGAAGAGCUCACUGAUUGGUUAUCUGACAUCACAUGGUCAGCCCUAAAAGCACACAUAUAGACAGGUAUAUUCACUGAGCAGGUUGCAUUUAGGAAUAUAUACAAAUGCAUGUAACAGUGAAAAACAGGCUAUAAAUUUGAAGGAGAGAUAUAUGAGAGUGUUGAGGGAGGGAAGGGGGAAAUAAUAUAAUUAUAUUAAAUUAUAUUAUCUCAGAAUUAAAUUAUACUAUCUCAAAAGUAAAAUGCAAAAAAAAAAAUAAAGAGAACUGGGAUCAAUGAAAAUGCAAAAGCUAAAGAUCCUUCUAAAGUAUUCUUUGAGAAUCUCAAACAUCACUGAAUUAUCAGAAGACAUUCAGUGAACAAUUGUUGAUACUUUUUUUUUUUUUUUUGGUUCUUUUUUUUUUUCCCGGAGCUGGGGACCGAACCCAGGGCCUUGCGCUUCCUAGGCAAGCGCUCUACCACUGAGCUAAAUCCCCAACCCCACUGAGCUAAAUCCCCAACCCCGAUACUUUUAGAGUAAGAAAAAAAUGACCAAAAAAAAAAAAAACAAAAAAACAAAAACAAAAAACAAAAAAAACCAACCAAACAAACAAAAACCAUGUAAUUGUUGGAACUGACCUUAUUUCUUUGAUCUACAUUGAUCACCCCAUACCCAAGAAUAGAUGUGAAGACGUAACUGAGACAGUCUUGAGUGAUCUCUCUGACUUAACAGACACUAACCCAUAUACCAAAUGUCAAAUCCUCUCUAAAAAGAAGCACACCCAUCUGUAUGCACUUAGGCAUAUUCUAAUUGCCAAUAAAUAAAAUAAGAGGUCAGCUCAAAGAUUAGAAGGAUUAGGAGGUAUGGCCUGCUAGAACAGACACUGGGGUGGGGGUUUUGACAUUUCAAAAGCCCACACCCAGCUCCAUGUCUCUCUCUCUGUCUCGCUCGGUCUGUAGAUCAGGAUGUAGCUCUCAACUACUGCUCUAGAACCAUGUGUGCCACCAUGCUCUCCAUCACCAAAACAAUGGACCAAACCUCUAAAACCCUAAGCCAGCCCCUCAUUUAAUGUUUUUGGUCAUGGUGUCUCUUUACAGUAAUGUAACAGUAACUAAGACAAGGUCUAAGCUAGUAUUUUUCAAGUUGAGUAUAAAAAAUCACUGAGAAACUUGGUAAAGAUUUAUAACCCAUCCUAUCUCCAUACACUGAUUCAUUAGAUCAGGGGUGGGUAGAAGCUAGAAUUUUGGUAAAUUCCCUGGUGAAUAUAAUGACUAUGAUGCAGAAGCCAAGAACAAAUCAGCUCUGGCCUACAGCAACCAUCAGUUAAAUUCAUAGCUGACAUGGUAAAAUAAAUAAAAUAAAACAAAAACAAAACAAAAAAACAACAACCCUGCAACAAGAAGUUGCUAAAACAACAGGUUUCAAUUGUUGUAUAGAAAAAGAGAGGUCCCAACAGCCAGUGUUUUCUAGUGUAGAAGCUUAGUCCAUUCAGAGCUACAUGCUCAGAGUAGGAUUAGUCAGAACUUAAAGAAAGCAUCAACAGGAGGGUCCAUAACAGAAGCCAAAGGACGUUUCAACUCGCUCCAAGAUUUUCAUGAAAAGAUAUAGAUAAACCACAUGAAAUGGAAGAUGGACUAUCUCCAUAGUUUAAUUCAGGUUUCCCAGUAAGAAAAACAAAAUAUGUGCAGGGUAUGGUGUUAAUACAGAUGCUUUAACUCCUGCAUUGGGAGAGGCAGAGGCAGUUAGAUUUCUGUGAGUUCAAAGCCAGCAAGGGCUACUCACAGUGGGACCAUGUCUCAAAAACAGAAAGAAGGGGUGGGGAAGAAAAGUAAAAAGGAGCUGGGGCACAGCUCAGUGGUAGACUGCUUGCCAGACACACUCAGGACCUGGGCUUGAUCCCCAGUGCAAUGAAUGCAUCGAGAGUGGGGGGCUGGGAGUGGAAAGGUGGUUCUCCGACUUGCUAUCUAUCUAAGGUUGAGGCCUAAAUACUAUCAUCAUAUUCUGAUGUUCAUCACUACUUUGCACACCCUCAUAUAUACUUAUAAUCCUGAAGCCAUCACUUACAAAACAAGGAAACACCGUUAAUGAAAACCCUACAUUGUUUCUAAGCGAAGUUUGAGCUUUAAAUUAGAUACUAGAAACGGGAAAUAAGGGGUCAAACGACAAGAGCUGCUAAUUUAAAAUUCUGCUUCUUGGGGGCUGGGUGGCUAAGCUAUUAUGAAUAAUGGCUGUUAUUACAGAAGACACAGGCUUACCUACCAGCACCCAUGUGUUGGCUCACAACCUUCUGUAACUCCAGUUCCAUAGGAUCCAUUCCUUUUCUUCUGGCCUCUAUGGGCACUUGGCACCCCAGUGGUGCAGACAUAACACUCAUAUACAUAAAAAUAAUUAACAAAAAAUAAGUAAAAUUCUGGUUCUAUCAGUUGGGAGAACAGCCUGUAGGCAGACUAUUUAUGUGGCAUGUGUGCGGGAAGCCCUGGGGUCAGUUCUCUUGGUACCACACACACAAUCUGCCAAUUCUUAAAUUAUCUUCUCACAGGAGAGCGGCUGAGCCUAAAGUAUACUGGAAUCUUUGAAAUAUGAAAUCACUGGAGAACAAAAAAGAAGGCAAAAGCUGAGGACUAUCAGGUCUUUGAAAAAGAACUGCUCUGGGAGACCUGUACUUCACCUUGGGUAAACAGAUGCUACGCCUACCAUGUGAACCUGGUUCAAUACCGCUGCAUCAACAGUCACAGAACGUGCUCUACGGAGGCUCGGCAGACGCUCAAUCAAGCUGGGUAACCUGAGCUCAACCCUCAGAACCACACGGUUGGAGAGAACUCCCACAAUUGUCCUCUGAUCUCCCCAAAUACACAUGCAUGCGUGCACACACACACACACACACACACUUUUGAAGGAAGAUGCUCUUGGGAGCUGAAGAAAUCAGAGUGAUUGGAUGUUAGUGGACAUUUCAGUUUAAAAAUAUCAUUACAAGACUUUGGUUUGAGAUGAGGGCAGAACUUCAACAAUGUCUGCAAUGGCCCCACACAAUCUUCCACUCUUGUGUAUCAUGCACUAUACAAGCGGCAUUCCCAGCACUGACAGUUUAUACUCAGAAUGCAAUCAACUCUCAAAACCUCUGGAGGUGCUGCUCUGUAUCAGCUCAGCAGAAAACCCAGCGAGACUGAAUUCUCUGUGUAUGUGGAUCCCACAGAAAGAAAGAUCAACAGGAGCACGCCACUCGCAUCCAGGGACGCAGCUCCAACCAAUGGUACCUUUAUCUCUGGGAUCGGCAAGCAGGUCGUCAGCUGAACAGGGACUCUCCUCACUGCCUUCAUGAGAGAUGGUGAGGAAGGAUGUCGGGGACACAGACUGAGAGCGGCUGCUGUUGUUGCUUCCCUUGUCUGCACCCCCAGGAGUCUGUGUGUCAAUGCUGCGUGUGCUGCUGCUUCUCUGUGCGAGGGGUGGAGGCGCACGAUGACCAUCUGGGAUAUCUUGUGGCUGUUACAAAUUUUUAAAAACAGAUGUUGAUACCACUAA